rnacentral:lncRNA from 1 species
CCAGAAUCCUCUUUGAUUCCUAGUCCUGUCUGUUUCAUUGGCCAAACAGAACUUUAUUAAACAAUCAAUAAGAUAAACAUACAGAGAAAUACUUCCCCCCAUCACAACUUGACUCUGGUGAAAACUGCACAGAGGAAUCUUUUAAAGGAGCAUUGAGGGCUGCUGUAGAAUCCAAAUCUUAGCUGGAAGACUGAGAGCCUCUAUGCAAACAUGGCUUUGUGCAUCUUUCCCCAAAGGAAUUCCAUUAGUGUGACCUGAACUCAAACUCUCUGUGCCUAGUUUCCUUAUCUAUUGUUUAGGGGUAAUAGCUAUAAUGGCACACAGCACAUGGCUUGGUUGUGAAGAUGUGUACAAGUUGAUGUUUAUACUUGCUUACAAUAGUCUCUGGCACACAGUAUGCUCUGUAGUUACUGCAUCAUCAUCAUCACCAGGGCCAAUGUUAAGGAGGUUUCCUCAAAGGGCUGAAUCUGGAUUUUCAACACAGAGCCCGAGACUUGACUGAAGAUGGAGUGGACCACUUGGAGCUUCGAGUUUGAUGUUAGAACUUCAAUGGGUGCUUCCCAUUCAUGUGUGGCAAGCUCCUCAUCACUCACGUCUCAGCUCAAAUCAGAAAGCUGUUCCUUGAUUUUCUUAAGAGAGCACCCUUAGCCCCUGUAGUCAUCCACUUCAGUAAGUAUGCAUACUGUCAUUGGAUUAAAAGAUUUUGCCACAUUGAACCCUCAGCCCGAGGAAAG